GUAACUAUGCACGUCUUGACGGUACCUAAUCAGAAAGCCACGGCUAACUACGUGCCAGCAGCCGCGGUAAUACGUAGGUGGCAAGCGUUAUCCGGAAUUAUUGGGCGUAAAGCGCGCGUAGGCGGUUUUUAGUUACUGAUAGUUGGUAAGGAACCCGCCCGGACGGUCCUAACCCGUAACGGGUAGGGGGUACGGUACUUAGGUUAAACGGUAACGGUAAACGGUUAAACGUUGGUAGGUCGACGAAAGGAAAGGGAAAGGGUAAGGGUAAGGUUAACCUUACUAGGUUGGUUAGGUACGGGUCGGGUAAAGUAAGUCGGUACGGUAAGGAAGUUUUAGGUUAGGGGAAACGAACCCACGUAGGGUCGGAACGGACGGACCGGACCGGGCCCGGACGGUACGGUUCGGGGUAGGGGCGAACGGACGGACCAACCGACGGGGGAAGGUAAGGAG
rnacentral:rRNA from 1 species